rnacentral:rRNA from 1 species
UACGAAGGGUGCUAGCGUUGUUCGGAUUUACUGGGCGUAAAGCGCACGUAGGCGGGUCGUUAAGUCAGGGGUGAAAUCCCGGAGCUCAACUCCGGAACUGCCUUUGAUACUGGCGACCUAGAGUCCGGAAGAGGUGAGUGGAACUCCUAGUGUAGAGGUGGAAUUCGUAGAUAUUAGGAAGAACACCAGUGGCGAAGGCGGCUCACUGGUCCGGUACUGACGCUGAAGUGCGAAAGCGUGGGGAGCAAACAGG